CAAAAACACACAAAAAAAACAUCGUGUUACACGUUUUCACGAGCAAAAUCUAAAAAUUGAGACGUGAAUGUUGAGCCCCACAUACUCUAAUACCCCUAAAUACAAUCCAGUGUGACAGAAGUCAAUGCCGUGAAGACGUACACCUCAGACUUACCAACAAUAUGGCUUUUGUAGCAGAA